rnacentral:misc_RNA from 1 species
UCCGGCUUAACGCCGGCAGUCUACCUAGAGUGCCCAACUUAAUGGUGGCAACUAAGUACGAGGGUUGCGCUCGUUGUGGGACUUAACCCAACACCUCACGACACGAGCUGACGACAGCCAUGCACCACCUGUGCACAGGCCCCGAAAGGCUGCCGCAUCUCUGCGACAUUCCUGUGUAUGUCAAGCCCUGGUAAGGUUCUGCGCGUUGCGUCGAAUUAAACCACACGCUCCGCUGCUUGUGCGGGCCCCCGUCAAUUCCUUUGAGUUUUAACCUUGCGGCCGUACUCCCCAGGCGGAUGACUUAAUGCGUUAGCUGCGCCACCGAAAGCCUAAGGCCCCCGACAGCUAGUCAUCAUCGUUUACGGCGUGGACUAC